GUCUUCCCGCCUAAACCGCCAUCUUUCCUUUCCUUUGCUUCUAUGGACCGCUGGAAAAGCGGAGAGACUGGCUGUUCCGGGGGCCUCGGGCAGCUACAUCUACACACUACGUGCAGUACAAAAUUCCAGACAACAACCCAGCUACUGCGGAAGCGGAUUGGCUGCGCUGGGGACACCUGCCGGCGUGCUUACAUAAAAGAGUGAUUGGGAAGGCGAGGCCGAGGGAGAGCGCCAGCCUCACCCAGCCACAGCGCUCCUCCUUGACGCCGCGAGCAGGACCCUGUCUCACUGGCCCGGCUGCCCACGGAGGUCCUUGCCUGCUUUGGUUCUCCGGGUUUCCCCAGUCCGGAGUAUUGGAAAGCGAAAGCGUCCCAGUCGCCGGAUGCUUUACCCAGUGGCCACAACCACAUUGCUUUUCUGUUGGGUUGUGGGGCUUGCUGCUACAUUGUCGUGAGAACAUCCCUUCCUGUUCCUGCCCAGAGGAGACUGAGUCACAUGAGUAACAACCACAGAAUCAUUUGGGUGGCUUAUUUCAAUCACACCUCUGGCCACUCAGACUCAUUAACAGCACAGUUCUGAAGACCAGAAGUCUGAAAUCAAGAUGUUACCAGGGUUGGUUCCUUCCGGAGGUUUUGAGGAGAACCUAUUCCACGCUGCUUUCCUAGCUUCUGCUGGCCUCUGGCAAUCCCUGACAACCCCUGGUUCUAGAUGUAUCUCUCAAAUCUCUGCCUCCACCUUCACACGGCCUUUCUUUCUGGGUCUCUCCUCCGUGUUUCUUCUUUACUUAUAAGGACAUUCGUUACUGGAUCUAGAGCUCACCCAGUGAGGAUGAUCUUGUCUCAGCAUGAUCUUGUCUCCUGAAUCUUAAUUUAAUUACACCUGCAGAGCAUCCUUGUCCAAAUAAAGACACAUUUACAGGUAUAUAGGGUAAGUAUAGUGCCUGCACUUAGGGUCAGGCUCAGUGAACCGCUCUACAACCUUGUUCAGACCAUUAUCUCAUUUCAGAGGGAGAUAUGGAGUAGAAUGGGAUAUUGGACUAGCUCUGUAACUGGGAACUGGAGGAGUGAGUGGUGAUAAAUCCCGGCCUAAGCUGAAUUUUCUAGCUACCUGGUCUUUAGAGCUAAGGCAAGAGAAAAUCAGAAAAAGGUAUUUGCUACAUUCUGAAAUGCUUAUAAUAUUUCUUAAGUGAUCAAAGGUGGGUGUACUUUAGAUGCAGGAAUGGCCAUAGUGGUGUCUGGUUCCAAUGCACCAGCUCAGUUAGGAGAAAGAAUAAGCUAUAUUUCAAGACGUAAGUCCCAGUCUUUCCAAGGUACCAGCAAUUUUGGCAAAAAUUCAGUGAUAAUUCCUUCUCACACAGGAAACAGGUAUAAUAAUAUCUGGUCUAUCUAAUAGGUAUUAAGAUAAUAUGUCAUAAAUUAUUUAAUAAACAGUAAAGCCACAUAAGUUUAAGUCUCUGUGGUGAUUAGACAGGCAUUAGACUUGAAGCCAUAUUUGAAAUGAUACAGUCAAAUCUCAUUACUUGUGGUAGUUAACGGUUUAUAAAGAUGUCAUAAAUACUGAAUUAACAAAUACUGAAGCAUUGCCUUUAAGAGUAACAGUGUUGAAUUUCUGUCAUCUUCUGAUCACAAUGUUUUCAUCAAAGUUGGUAAAUAAACUUGCUUUAUGUGUGUUUAGGUUGAAAAGACAUCUUAUUAAUAUGAAUUGUUGAUUCUAAAAUAUUCAACUCACAGCCAAAUGUGCUAUAAGUCAUGUCUGAAAAGUUUAUCCAGCUUCUGUAACACAAACAUUUCCUUUAUAAGGCAUACCACAGCCACCUUUUGCUUGGGAACACUAGACUGAACUUCAGUUUUAUGCAUGGGGGCCGUUUAAGCAGAAAAAUGACCAACAACAAAAAAAUGUGGAAAGCGUACUAAAUAUAUAAACAGAAUUUGAUUAUAUAGCAUUCUAGAAGAUGCAUAAACAAUAUUGAGACAGUAAAAAGAUCAGUGAUUUCUUUUUUUACUGGAGUUCAGGGGAGAGCGGAAGGUUACAUAAGUAAAGCACAGAUUUCUAGGGUGAUGUAACUAUUCUGUAAGAUAAAACUCGUAGAACUUUACAGCACAGAGCAAAUCAAUGUAUACACAUUAAAGUAUCAUUUAGGAGGGCAAGGGGUCAAAGGAAAGAAUUCACCCUGUGACAAGAGAAUCUAACUAUUCUAUGUAUGUAUAACUGUAUUGUAAGCAUGUAAAACCACCUCACUGAAGGAGGUGAGAAACAAGAUGGUGACGGGAAUAACACAGGGAAUGAAUGGAGUACCUAAGACUACAAGCAUGGAAAUUGCACAUAGGCACUGGAUUUGAGUUGAUAAAGUUAUUUCCCAUUGAGGUAGAAGUUAACAAUUCUGACACUGCUAUAUAUGUAUACGUGGAUUAAGCAAUUAAGUGAAUGUGUGAGAGAUGGCAGGCGUCAUGCUUCUCAGUGUUUGGAGUUGGAAUAUACAGAUAAGAAAGGCAUAUACACAUAUGUGUACACCUACAUAUAUGAGUAAAUAUAUUCACAUAUAUUUCUUUGCUCUGUCAGCUGAGGGGGCUAAAAAAACAACAUCCCAGUAGCAAUGAGCAUAUCUAGUACCUAGAUGUUGGUUUCUAAUAACAUUCUUCAUUAAAAGUCUCCAGGUGUUCCAUGGUGAGCAAGUCCAUGAAAACCUACCCCCAAAAGCCAAAGAAGCCGAGAGGACAAAGAAAGAGGCUGACAAAUACAGUUUCUCA